UCUGCCUCCCAUGUGCUGGGAUUAAAGGUGUGUGCCACCACCACCUGGCAACUUUUUAUUUUUUUAAACUGGGUCUCACCAUGUAAAGCUGGCUGACCUCAAACCCAGAGAUCUACCAGUCGCUACUCCGCAGAUACUGAAAUCAAGUGUGCCACUACACCCAACUUCAAAAUUUUACGUUUUAAAAAAUUUUAAAGCCCAAAUUUCAUCUUAACUUAUACGGCUGUACCUAUUUCAUCCCUUCUUCAGUUUUAAUGUAUUCUUUGGUCAAUUCUUUUUUCUUUCUUUUUUAUUUUUCUUUUUUCUUUUUUGGUUUUUCGAGACAGGGUUUCUCUGUACAGCCUUGGCUGUCCUGGAACUCACUCUGUAGACCAAGCUGGCCUUGAACUCAGAAAUCCGCCGGCCUCUGCCUCCCAAGUGUUAGGAUUAAAGGUGUGUGCCACCACUGCCCGGCCUUUUAUUAUUAUUAUUAUUAUUAUUAUUAUUAUUAGUAGUAGUAGUAGUAGUAGUAGUAGUAGUAGUACACUGAAACUGUCUUCAGACACAUCAGAAGAGGGCGUCAGAUCUCAUUAAGGGUGGUUGUGAGCCACCAUAUGGUUGCUGGGAUUUGAACUCAGGACCUUCAGAAGAGCAGCCAGUGCUCUUAACCUCUGAGCCAUCUCUCCAGCCCUCUUCAGUCAAUUCUUAAUCUUUCCUUAUCACAUAUGGAUUCUGACUCUUCUAUUAAGUUAAACAUCUUAUUAUGAGCAUAUAAAGUUAAGUUUCUAGGACUGGGGAUGUAGAACCGCUCAGUUCAUGAAGUGCUUGCCUAGUAUUCAAAAACUGGAUUCAGCUCUGGACUACCGUGUAAGCCAGGUGUGGUGGUUGCCCUCCAAACGCAGCCCUGGGUAGGAGGAUCAGGGGCUCAAGGUCAUCCUCAGGCUCAGUUCCAGGACAACCUGGAAUAUGUGAAACACCACCCAAAAACCAAAAUGGCCAAUAAUAUGGCUUAGCAGGUAAGGCUGGCAACCCAAGUUUGAACUCCUCCGGGACCUAAAUGGUAGAAGAAGCAAGCCAACUCCUAAAAGUAUUCUUCUGACUUCCACAUGUGCUGUAGUGGAUGCAAGCUUGUGUACACAUAUACAUAAAAAAUGUAAUGAAAAUAAAAAGCAAAAGCUAUUUGAAUGCCAUUUUCCUGGAUGCUCUUAAUUAAAAUUCCAAGUUAUCC
rnacentral:lncRNA from 1 species